ACAGGAAUGCAGAGGUGCAACCGGUUUGACAGAAUACGUUGCUACUUAAACCUGUGUUUCACCUUGUAAAGUCCCCAGUUAGAACUGAUAGAAGCCAGCGCUCUUGGGUUCAUCGAAAAUACAGGUACACAUGCAUUUUCUCUCAAGCAGUACACAAUAAUCACUAGAAUCAUCCCUCAUGAUUUUCUAAAUCCGUUUAUUCAGUAAAGAGAUAUUUAUGACUAUCAUUUAUAAUCUCUAGAGCUCCAUUUUUUUAAGGCCUAUGAUAUUCAAAUUUGUUAGAACAUGUUCAGCCAACUCGGUAUCCCACUCCCCAUCGCUAGAUAUAGCGAUUCAGAAAAGAAAUAAAAACCUCGCUACUCCCCUCGCCAUUUUCUUGGCUCGCCAUCCCAUCGCUACCACCCCACCUACCCUCCCAUCGCGGCGUAUACAGAUUCACCGCUCCUCACGAGAAGCUCACCACAUCGCCGCAAAGAAAUCCUCCCGAAUCGUCGCCAUGGCAGCCGCCACACCGGCAUGCUCCGUGAAGGAAGUACUCCCAUCUCCCCUUACCUCCGCCUCCGAGCCCCCUCCCCUUUUCGACGGCACGACCAGGUUGUACGUUGCUUACCACUGGAGCACAACAACCAACCUUGGAUUUGGUUAAGUACAUGAAUAACAAUUUCAAAGGCCCAUCAUUUCUUCCUGAUGAUUCUGCAAAGAAGCAGUUUGCUGAGGAGUUGCUUGCAUAUACCGAUGAGUUUAACAAAGCAAUAUACUCAUCCGUAGUCUCCAAGGAAGAUGUAUCCAAUGAAACUGGUCAGAGCACUCGACUGCAUGUUUUACGUAUUUGAAGAGGUUGUAAUUUGUAUCAUGUGCUACGGGACUCCGCCCCCGCAGCAGCACGCGACUCCGCCGCCGCGGCCUGAUCCUACGGCAGGACCAGGGGAGAUGAUGGUGUUGUGCCAGGAGGGGUGGGUGAAGGAUGCGGUGGAGCUGCUCGCCAAGGGAGCGUGCGCCGACCCGCCUGCCUUCUACGAGCUCGUCGCUGUCUGCUCAAACCCUAUGGUACUAGAUGAGGCGAGAAGGUGCACGACUUCUUCCUCCGCUGUCCCUUCCGCAGCGACCUCAAGGUCAACAACAAGCUGCUCGAGAUAUACGACAAGUGAGCUGCCAUGCCCCAUGCCAUGCCCGCAGGAUGUUCGGUAAUACUGCUGAAUGGAACAUGGACUCAUGGCACAUCAUGAUCGACGGCUACACCGUGAACGGGCUUCGAGAUGAGGCACUGCGGCUGUUUGAACUGAUGAAGGAGUGCAUGGAACCACAAUUCGUGCUCGUGCUCAAUGUUUGUUGGCGUAAUGGCGUUCCUUUACUUUGAAGCCCUGUCCAGGAACCAUGGCAUUGAGCCUGGUGUGGAGCACUAUGUUGGCUAUGAACAUCGUUAUUUUCUCUCAUUUCAUCAGUACUCCAUGGUGAUAUCAGCAGCUGUUCAUUUGGAAUAUGGUUGUUCCUUUACUAUCUGUGUCUGCUAUGCGAUUAAAUACCUAUUUUUUCCCAAGAAUUAUGUUAGGUCUCUAAUGAUAGGUUACUGAUGUUUUUAGGCAUCACAAUUAUUGCCUGAGUAUUUGCAUGUCUUGGAGAAUUUUUCUAGCCUAUUUCCAUACAAGAAAUGGGACGAUGGAUUGAGUUAAUUAUCUUUUGCUUUGCUCACAUCUUAUAACUAGGCUUCCUAUUGCUGGGAUUUUUUUAUCUCCUUAAUUCUAGAAAGCACUUCCAUUGAACGUAUAAACUUUUAUUGUUUGAUUUUUUACCAUACCUAUAUCCGUAUUAACAAUUAGAACAUCCUCAACCAUAUUCACUUCAUUUCGUUCCCUUCCUGAUUCCCCUCCUUGUUCCCAUUUCCUUUAUUUUCUCUCAUCUCUAAUAGUUUCCAUCGAAUGGAUUUGUGAAAGGAAAAGAGAGAUAAUCCCGUCUUGAAGGGAACAUCCUUGGGAAUCCUUUCAUUACAGGAAUCGUGAAGGGAAACUGUUGGAGUACUGAAGGGAACGAAAAUUUCUUCGCGAAGGGAUUCUUGUCCGCGAAGGGAAUCCCUUGGAGAUGCUCAGCACUUCAAUAAUAUUGAGUCCAAGGGCCCAGAUCUGGCAGACAAGAAUAACUCACCCCAAAGUAGCAAUGAAACUUUAGUUGAUGAAGAGGCCGUUCAAGUGCAGAAGUCAUUCAUGAUGGUUCUGCAGCUGAAGAAGAGUGACAGAACAUCAUCACCUGAGGUCAGCAAUACUGAAUCAACUAAUGAAGCCAUGGCGAAUGCGAGAUUUUAGGUAUUGUUACCGCCGUUUUGGUAUGGAUUUUGUUCGCAAAACAUAGCUGCCUGUAGAUGUGAUUUUAUAUACAUUACCGGUCAAAUGUUCCUAAUCUAGGCAAUAUUUUCAUUAGAUCCUUUUAUUAUCACCUGUUUUUUAUUAGAUCUAUUAACAAACAUGUUCUUUUCUGUAAGGUAGCUGUUGCCCUUCGAACAGAUCUAGGUAAAGUAUAUCCAUUUUGGAAAAGAAACUAUAGAGAUAUAUUCUUUUUCAUCCUACAUUUAAUCCAAGUAUAAACACAAUAAAAUAACUAUUCCUUUUUAUGAUACCUUACUUGACCAGCACACCUUCCCUCUUACACUUCUUCAAUUACUAAAAUGUAGCCUUACUCAUACAAGUGAAAGGCUUUACACUGUAGCCAUCAGACUUUCAUUAGAGCUCCAGUAACAAAAACAUAUGCCACUGUAGUUCAUUAAUUUUUAUUUCAACUUGCCGGUCUACAAAAUUGACUAUUAUAUAUCUCUUUUUCACGUUCAUGGAUCUACGAAUCAAAGCUAAGAUGCGGGUGUUGGUUAGCAUUUUCUAUUUCAUUUUGUAGCAAGCAUCAGGAAAUAGUCAAUAUUAACCAGCUCAAGCAAUUUACUUACACAAACUCUGAAGUCUGAACGUCAAAAAGCGAUCCAUAAGGGUCAACUGACUAUUGACAGCAAAAUCUUUUCUUUCAAUCUUUUUUCUCUACUGUUUGAGUUCAUACCAAAAGCACUUCCAUUGCUCAAUUCCAUUUAUAUUAACCGCUAAUACUAUCAAUAUUUGUCUUGGUGUCAAAUUUAGCUUCUGCUAAUGGAUUCUUCUUUACCAACAUAUAUCAUAUUUAUAUCUUUGUUCAUGUGCAUACAAGUUAUAUAAACUAUGUUAAAAAAUGCAAUCUAAUAUUAAUUUCCUACGUAUGUACAGCUCUGCUUACAGACUCGUUGAUAAGGUGCCCUGUAAUUAUUUUUGCCCUGUUGAGAUGCCAUCACUACAUCAGAAUACCAUGCAACUGCUUUUCUUUUGGCAUUUCAGAUUACAGGAGGCAAUUCUAUUAAUUCCAUUAGAAUACCAUGUAACUGCUUUUCUUUUGGUAUUUCAGAUUACAUGAGGCAAUUCUGUUAAUUCCUCCUGGUAUAACAGUUCUAAUGGACAUGCUUAUGGAUCAUGAGCUGUUAACAUUAACUCCCCCUGCCUUUUGUCUUACUUUCUCUGAGGAAGAAAAUUUGCUGUCCAUGAAAUUUUGUAUCUAUCUAUGUUGGGACAGCCUAAUGUCGGUGGGCGCAUGUAUACUGAUUUGUUUGAAAUCAUUUGUGCACUCACAAAAAGAGGAAUUAUAUUUGUUAGCUCGAAUGACUUCCUAAAUGUGUACUCAGUUACUCACACGUUACAUUAAUCCUGAACAGUACUGUUACAGUAUUACUCCAUGGGUACCUAAUUAAAUCAUAGACUCCAGUAUGGGUUAUGAUUCAAAAUAUAUUGCAUAAUAAUAGUAAUUGAAAUUGACUAACAAAUU